rnacentral:rRNA from 1 species
AUAUCAAUAAGCGGAGGAAAAGAAACUAACAAGGAUUCCCCUAGUAACGGCGAGCGAACCGGGAAUAGCCCAACUUGAAAAUCUCCCUUUGGAGAAUUGUAGUCUAUAGAAGCGCCCUCAUGGGCUGGCGGAACUCAAGUCGGAUCGAAUGCCGCGUCAGAGAGGGUGAUAACCCCGUCGGUUCCUGCCUAGUCCUCUCACGAGGUGCUUUCCACGAGUCGGGUUGUUUGGGAAUGCAGCCCUAAUUUGGAGGUAAAUCCCUUCUAAGGCUAAAUACUGCGAGGAGACCGAUAGCGCACAAGUA